GCAGCCGCUGCCGCCGCAGCGAAGAGGCCAUGUUGUGUGGUGUGUGGGGCGGGGGGAGGAGGAGGAGGGAGUAAAGCCUAGAGAGGAGACGGGAGAGAGACACCACACACACGGCACAAGAUGGCCGGAGAGGCAGCAGCACCCCGAGCUGUCAGGCGUUCCGCCGCGGCCGCGAGGCCCGCCGGCCGGCGGGGAGCUACGCCCGGACGGCCAGCAGGCCCGCGGGAGUGGGGCUGCCGCGGCUGAGGCGAGGCGGGCCGCGCGCGUCGGCGUCACAGCCCGCGGCAGAGGCGCCCAGGGCGGCCGGGCCCACGACGCCGAAAGCGCCGCUGCGGUUGCCGCCUCGGAGGCUCCCCCGGGCCCCGGCGGCUGGACCCGGCGCGGGCGGGAGGCUCGGGCGGGCGGUCCGGCCCGGGACUCGGGUUUGGGCGACCAGGAGGUGCCGGUGGCCGCGCUCGGACCCGGUGACUUAAGAGAUUAAAAUUAAUUUGGUUGCUGUUGGUUCUGAACAAAUAAUGAGUUCUUUUAUUUGAGGUAUGCCAUUUUGAAGACUGAGACGUUGGAGUUUUAUCCUAGAGGAUAAAGGAAAUCUUUGGGAAAGUCAGUAUUUUAUAUAGCAAAAAUAUGAACCUCAAACUGAAUCCUCUAAAGGCCCCAUACAAUGAAGUAGACAUUGGUGGAAACAUUUAGUAAGUAUUAUUCAAUUUACAUGUUUAAUCUGUUUAGAAAUUUUAAAUACUACUUUGGAAAUUUUGAAAAUUCGAGUCAGAAUUGUAAAGAGGGAUUUAGUGAAACUCAACACAGUACAAGAAAAUCAACAUGGAAAUUUCGCUUAUUAAUUUACUCCAAUCUAUUAUUUUCUGCUUUCUUCACUUAGGCAAGUUAAAAUGCAAACAAACCCACAUUUGAACAUACCUCUAACACUAUUAUAAACAUGGAUGUUGCUAAAUGGUUCCUCUUUGUUUUUGUAAAUAAAGUUUUAUUGCAGCACAGCUAUACGCUUUCAUUUACACCCAGUCAGCUUGAAGAGUUUCAAAUGGACCCUACCACUGAGAAAUCAAGAUGGCAGUCUACUAUGGGGAAUUGAGGAAAAAUGGAUUAAUACAAGAGUCCUGUGAUAAUAUACAACCAAGACAGGGUUCUUUUAACAUGGAUUCCAUGCAGUGAAUGAAGACAUAGGUUUCUUACCCAACACAAAUGGACAGUGGAUUUGACUUUCUAAAGACUUUUUUUGUGGACAUUUUGACAUUUGGAGAAGAAAGAUGGCACACUAACCCAGAUAAUAGUUUUUAUGCCUGGAAUUUUUUGCAGUUUGAUUUGUAUGCGUAUGACCUCUUGAAAUGUUAAUUUUUAAUAAAAUUUGUAACACUUAAAAAUUUCUCAGUUUGGGUUUUUUUUUUUAAGUGGAAGUUUAAUUAAAUGUUUAGUUUUAUUUUAGUAAUACUUUGGCCUUUGUAGUUGCCGAGUGGUAAAGUGUACUGAAUAUGAAUAAAGCUGGUAAAUUGGAAAUGGUGUAAUCGAAAACAUUUUACUUGGUUUAUGAAGAUUUACGUUUUUCACAAAGUUGUGCUCUUAGAUGGUCAUUUGGUUUAAAUACUGUUUUGUUUGUGCUUUCAUGAAACACCUUUCAAAACAACUCAAUGGGUAAUAAUAGAAUCUGAUUUUAAUCUGCCACAAGAUUUUAAUGAACUUGAAACAAACUGCUUGUUGCUCGAAAAUUCAGGAUGAGUGAUACACAUAUACUUCUGAAUUAUUUUGUGUUGAUUGAAAUGGUUUCUUAAGCUUUUUAAUACUAUAAAUACAUCUUGCUAUAGAAUAUUCAUCUGAAUAUUUAAAUUAAUGUCUCCUAUUGUCUUACUAUUAGAGGAAGAAGUGUUGGAUUUAUGGGUUAGGGUCCUUGGAGUAUUCACAAUUUUUUAAAUUUGAAAUUAUGUGUGUAAUCCAUUUUAUAUAACUUUGAAGUAGGAUUAAUAUCUUGUAUCGUCUUUAUUUUGUACAAUUGGGGAUUUAGAAUAAAUGAAUUGCACCCUGCCAUAGAUUACUUACGUUUGAUUUUUAAAUGCCAGGUUUUCAUUUAUUACUAAUCAACUGAUACCAGUUUUGGUAACUAUUACAAAGGUGGUAGGCAUUAUUUUGGUAGACAAAAUGAGUUCUUGAUUCUGUUUUCCCAUUUUACAUGAGAAGAAUAAAUAGUUCAGGUUAAAUUGUUUUGUGUUAAUCAUACUGUUUGUGAUUCAUGUCAAAUACUGCAGCAUACACAUCCAUGGUUAAUACACGAGCACCAUUUGUUAUUGACUGAUGUGAGGUGGUUGGUCUUUGUUAAAUUCAAAAAUGGAAUUUUGGAUAUUGUUCUUGCUACGAAAUUUAUCUUUGUGUGUAGAGUAUGGAAUUGAAACAGUUUGGAUUAUGGAUUUUACCUAGAUUGGACAUUGUUGAUUUUGUUUGGUGUAAAUCUAAAGUGGAUUUCUUCAGUGAGGGAGAGACAUGGUUCUGGCAGAUUAUGUUGAAUAAGGAAAGUUGAUUGGAUUUUUUUGGGUGUGUGAAUAUGCUUGUCUGAAUGGAGUGCUUGGUAGGAUAUUGUUUCUGGAAUUAGUAAUUUGUUUCUGUGGAUCUCAUGGUUUUGAUAUUUAGGAGAAUUUGCUUUGUGACAUUACUUUGAUAAUUUGCAAUCACGUAUGUCCUAUUGUUAAUAACAUUGUUGAAAUGGGUGUAUACUUACUUGAUUUGAAAUAUAAGGGAAGUGUUGGGAUAUGUGUUUUCUGUUGGAUUUGGACGUGGAGUUUCUUGGGUUACUGAUUUAAAGGUGAUCGUGUUUGGACCAUACUCUUGAAUUUUUGCCUGAAUCAGUAUGGGAAGUAAAUAUAUUGUGAUUAUGAGAAGUUUCUUUGGGGGGAGGAGUGUAAUAUUUUCAAGGUUAUAUAAUGGGUUAAAGAAUUUUGUGAAAGAACAAAGAAAAAUGGAUAUUCUUGAAUAAAAAUUGGUUGCAUUAACUUUUGCUCCAGUGCAACUUGAACACUAGGGAGGCGCUCUUGAGUUGUAAAAGUUACCCCUUUCUUCCAGUGGAGAUGGAAAAUUCCCCCUUAAAUUUUGUCUUUAGAUUAUUUUUAGGCAUCAUAAAGAAGGAAAAACUUGAAUUUAUAUUAUGAAAUUAAGGUUUUACUUUUAUUUAGCAAUCAUUUCACCCAUUGGGGGAUUAAUUUUUAAAAAGAUUAGUACUUAGCUGAGCUUUAGAUUCUCUAAGAAUUAUCCCUUUUUCAAAAUGGCUUGAUAAAACACCACUUCCUGUCCAGGGAGGAAGUUAUUUUAGCUCAAGGACUGAAAUAUUUAGCAGAUCUUUAGACAAAAGGAACAAAUUACAUUUCUCUCUGGCUUAAAAAGGGUGCUUGAGCCAGAGGGGGUUAAGAAGCCCUCCCCCCUCCCCCUGUUGGGGUGGUCUGGAGGGGCAGGGAGGUGUGGGGGUGGGGGUCCUUAGGCUCCCUGGGAUGGAGGAUCUGUCUCUCUCUCUCUCUCUCCUUUUUUUUUUUUUGGUGGAGAUGAAGGGGUGGGUCUAUGGUACAUCACCUGAGUUGUGGGGUAAAUGUAGAGAGUGUCAAUCAAAGGCAGAGCUCUCAGAGCUGGGAAGGAGGCUCUAGAUGGCGGCUGUGCCUUAGAGAGAGCGCGCUCUGCUCCCUGCCUUUGCCUCACUUUACGCAACUUUCCCUAACUUUCGGGCAGCCUCAGGGGGCCCCCGUAGCCCCCUGCCUUUCCUAGGGACUUACUGGGGUCGAUUCGAACCUUUUUUUGGGAGAAAAGCAGCUUUUAGGAGCUUUCUUUUCGUGCCUUGUUGGAAAGAAGCAGCCGUACUGAGAGCCCAGGUCGUUGUUUUUUCCAGCUUAGAAGCCAUGGCGCACCUCCAUUUUUGUGCGCUCUCCUAAUGAGGUUUUUUUUCUUUCGGACCUGUUUUAGUAUUAAUUAUUGCUUUAUUUUUUUGACCAGUUAACAUAUUUGAGGGUUAUUUUAUUUAUUUUUCGUUUUUUAACGGAGGAUUUUGCCUUUAUUUUUAAUUAUUUGGGAUCUGAUAUUUUUCUACUAGUAGAUAGGACUCUUGGUUUGGACAUACUACAUGGAUCAGUAAAUACCUGGGCACAGGACUUCAAAGCAAACACAGAUUCCCCCUCCCCCUUAAUAUUUAAGAAUUAAAAGAUGAUGAGAAAUAAGGACAAAAGCCAAGAGGAGGACAGUUCGCUACACAGCAAUGCAUCGAGGUAUGAGCUAUCAACUUUCUUCCUUUUUGUCUUUUUUUUUGGGGGAGAAACCUCAGCUUACAAUUGUUUACCUUGACAGACAUGGAUUGCUGUCUGUUUUAUUGUGUUUUUCUAAUUUGGAUUCGUUUUUUAAAGCAUGACCUUGAGAUUGCUAAUAUGCCACACCCUAAUUUUUUGGUAGCAAUUUAUGAAAGUUGAGUUGUGACUUAAGGCCUCUUACAGCAGUCAAAAGGUAAGGUACCUUUAUUCAAAGGGGCCUUUACUGUAAUGUACAGUUUUUCUGUCAGUAAAUUUCAGUUUUUAGGUUUUUGUACUGCAGAAAAAUGACCUUGUCGGUUUAGCCAUUGCUGCAUUGCACCAUUUUACAUACAAGGCAAAUUUUUUCUUUGAAGAAUCCAGGAUAUCUAAACUUGUAACUGAGGGCCAUAGAGAAGCCUUGUAGUAGUAAAUUAUAGUAAAUAGACAUAUCAGAAAGUUAUAUGAAUGAAAAAAUGUACAUUUAAAAACAAAAUCACUUAAAGGACCCUUUGACUGAUGCCUCUCAGUUUAUAUUUUUAUGUGACUUUAUAUUUCUUUUGAUACACUUGACAUUUUAGGAAAUUUUGAUGUGAUUUAUCAAAACCUUUACUUGAUGGUUAGAGUUCCUGCAUUUAUGAAAUCAAAUCUGUAAUAACAGAAAUCCUGGAAUACUCUUAAUAUAUACUUCUAUUUUGUGUUUGUUACUGUGAUUAAUAUUUGCAGUUGUAUAUUUUACAUUUAAAUUAUUUUAAGGUUUGCAUUUGUAUGCUUAAGACAUUGAUUUCCUGUUGGUAGAUGUAUUUUAUCCUCACAAUUUAGAUGUAGCUGCUUUAAAUUUAUUGAUGUAUUUCGACAGAGUCGUCUGGAAUGCUUUAUCUUCUGAAGCUUAAAAAUGUACUGUUUGUGCAAAUCAUGAUCUGUUUCACAUUCCUUGGAGUACCUUGUUAGUGAUGAAGUAAUAAAGCCUCUAAGAUGUUUUUGUUGUAUGACCUCUG
rnacentral:lncRNA from 1 species